GGUGUGUGAGGACCGUUCACUAUGAUACUCCACAUAUCAUAGUCGAGUGCUUGUAUAAAUAUUUUCAUCCGAGCUUUCCAAUAGGUGUAAUUAGACCCAUUGAAAAGUGGAGGUCGGUUGGUGGAUUGCCCCUCGGCUAGAGAAGUACCGACGUGGGUUGCCAUAGAUCUUUGGCUCCUUGAUUGUUUAGAUCAAAGACGAGCUAGAGCACCGGGCUCUGAUACCACUUGUUGCCCAGCUAUGCAACCCAAGAGGGGGGGUGAAUUGGAUUUCUAAAAAUUUUAAGCUUAACUAAUGACUUAUGAAAAAUAUUUAUCAAUAGCUAAGUGAAUGAGGAGAAUAACCUAAGUUCAAGAUUAAUUGCCUAAAGCAAGAAUGCAAGGAAAUAAUGAAGAGUUAAAG
rnacentral:lncRNA from 1 species